rnacentral:rRNA from 1 species
GAUGAACGCUGACAGAAUGCUUAACACAUGCAAGUCUUUGGCGAAGCUGUGCUUGCACAGCCUAGCCAAGGCGGACGGGUGAGUAACGCGUAAGGAACUUGCCCUGCAGUCAGGGAUAACAGACGGAAACGACUGAUAAGACCUGGUAAAGUCAGGCGGACUCAUGUCCAGCCUGAUGAAAAGAGAUGCUGCAGGAGAGCCUUGCGUCCUAUUAGCUUGUUGGUGGGGUAACGGCCCACCAAGGCGAUGAUAGGUAGCCGGCCUGAGAGGGUGGACGGCCACGAGGGGACUGGGAGCCGGCCCUUACUCCUACGGGAGGCAGCAGGGGGGAAUAUUGGACAAUGGGGGCAUCCCUGAUCCAGCACUUCUGUGUGCACGAUGAAGGUUUUCGGAUUGUAAAGUGCUUUCAGCAGGGAAGAAAAAAAUGACGGUACCUGCAGAAGAAGCGACGGCUAAAUACGUG